CUGCAAUUUGGCAGCACAUAUACUAAAAUUGGAAUGAUUCAAAGAAGAUUAGCAUCUUCUCUGUGCAAGGAUAACACACAAAUUCAAGAAGCAUUCCACAUUUUU